GUAGGUGAACCUGCGGAAGGAUCAUUACCGAGUUCAUGCCCUCACGGGUAGAUCUCCCACCCUUUGUAUACCUUACCUUUGUUGCUUUGGCGGGCCGCCUAGCUACUGGCUUCGGCUGGUAAGUGCCCGCCAGAGAACCCCAAACCCAAACCAUUUAUAGUGUCGUCUGAGUAAAAUUUUAAUAUUUAAAACUUUCAACAACGGAUCUCUUGGCUCUGGCAUCGAUGAAGAACGCAGCAUCUGACUGACU
rnacentral:misc_RNA from 1 species